AUCUUCUGGGUUUACUAUGGUGAAGAACAGAGAGGUGGAAGAGAGAGGAAGAAGAAGACGAGAAGAGGACGAUAUCACUAUUAUUCUCUCACAGGUUGUAAAAUUCUCUCCUUUUUGUAUUCUUUAUGAGUUAGUGGUUUUGGUUCAGCUUCUUUAUGGUUGCUCUAGUGGUCUCUGAAACUAUUUUAUAAGCUACAUUGCGGUGGAUAGAGAUGGUAUACAGUCUCGCUCUAGUCGAUUUGGUGUUAAUAUGGAUCGAAUUGAAGAUGUUAACAGGAUGUUUGAAUCCGUUCAAAAAGCUCUCGCGUGCCCAUCGAAAACUGCUGCACCGUCGCUUGCUUAGUCUCCUCCCAUGACUGAGAUUCCUCUCUCCUCCGCGUCCCUUGUUGAGCUUCCACCGGAGCAACCGUCGGCCUCCAGUUUCGAUCAUUCACUCUCGGACAACCAGUCGGGAACCCAAAUUCACGCGCCUACAGAGACACCUCCGAUCGUGUCUUCCCCAGCGGUCUUGUCGUCUUCAACCUCUGAAUCGAUGCCUUCCUCUGGUUUGGAUCCCGACAUCGAAAUGUCAUCUGCCGCACAACACUCUUCGCCAUCGUCCUCUGGUAUCGUAAGGAAUCUUCCUCUCUCUCUCUCUCUCGUUUGUUUUGAUUCUUCUACUUCGUGUAGAAUGAGCUGAGAUGAUCUUAUGUUGACUAGUUUUAGAAUUUAGUAUAUGCGAGAGUGAUUGUGUUUGGGGAAUGAUAGAUAGAUUUGUUCUCGAUCUGUUCAACUAGAUAGUUAAAAUAGAGGCUAUAGAUUUGUAGGGAAUAGUAUAGAAGAGACCUAUAAUUGUAGGGAUUUGAAGAUUUGGAUUGGUUCCNNN
rnacentral:lncRNA from 1 species